rnacentral:rRNA from 1 species
GAUGAACGCUAGCGGCAGGCUUAAUACAUGCAAGUCGAGGGGCAGCAGUUUUGUAGCAAUACAGAAGCUGGCGACCGGCAAACGGGUGCGGAACACGUACGCAACCUUCCUUUAACUGGGAGAUAGCCCACCGAAAGGUGGAUUAAUAUCCCAUAGUAUAUUUGAGUGGCAUCACUUAGAUAUUAAAGCUCCGGCGGUUAAAGAUGGGCGUGCGUCUGAUUAGGUAGUUGGCGGGGUAACGGCCCACCAAGCCCACGAUCAGUAGCUGAUGUGAGAGCAUGAUCAGCCACACGGGCACUGAGACACGGGCCCGACUCCUACGGGAGGCAGCAGUAAGGAAUAUUGGUCAAUGGACGCAAGUCUGAACCAGCCAUGCCGCGUGGAGGAUGAAGGUCCUCUGGAUUGUAAACUUCUUUUCUUUGGGACGAAACCCCUGUUUCUACGGGGACUGACGGUACCAGAGGAAUAAGCACCGGCUAACUCCGUGCCAGCCGCCGCAGUAACAC